rnacentral:rRNA from 1 species
GACGAACGCUGGCGGCGUGCUUAACACAUGCAAGUCGAACGGAAAGGCCCUGCUUUUUUGGUGUGCUCGAGUGGCGAUCGGGUGCGUAACACGUGAGUAACCUGCCCUUGACUUUGGGAUAACUUCAGGAAACUGGGGCUACUACCGUAUAGGAGCUCCUGCUGCAUGGUGGGGGUUGGAAAUUUUCGGCGGUUGGGGAUGGACUCGCGGCUUAUCAGCUUGUUGGUGGGGUAGUGGCUUACCAAGGCUUUGACGGGUAGCCGGCCUGAGAGGGUGACCGGGCACAUGGGGACUGAGAGACGGCGCAGACUCCUACGGGAGGCAGGAGGGGGGAAUAUUGCACAAUGGGAGGAAGCCUGAUGCAGAAACGCCGGGGGCGGGAUGACGGACUUCGGGUUGUAAAAAGCUUUCGCCUGUGACGAAGCGUGAGUGACGGUAAUGGGUAAAGAAGCACCGGCUAACUACGUG